rnacentral:rRNA from 1 species
UGGGGAAUUUUGGACAAUGGGGGAAACCCUGAUCCAGCCAUCCCGCGUGUGCGAUGAAGGCCUUCGGGUUGUAAAGCACUUUUGGCAGGAAAGAAACGUCAUGGGUUAAUACCCCGUGAAACUGACGGUACCUGCAGAAUAAGCACCGGCUAACUACGUGCCAGCAGCCGCGGUAAUACGUAGGGUGCAAGCGUUAAUCGGAAUUACUGGGCGUAAAGCGUGCGCAGGCGGUUCGGAAAGAAAGAUGUGAAAUCCCAGAGCUCAACUUUGGAACUGCAUUUUUAACUACCGGGCUAGAGUGUGUCAGAGGGAGGUGGAAUUUCGCGUGUAGCAGUGAAAUGCGUAGAUAUGCGGAGGAACACCGAUGGCGAAGGCAGCCUCCUGGGAUAACACUGACGCUCAUGCACGAAAGCGUGGGGAGCAAACAGG